AAAAAAUCCCGGUGCUGGAAUCCCUAUUACUCUCUAUGCAAAUGCCCUAGUACUAAGCCCUCAUUUUGCAACAGUCAUACUAUAUAACCCCAAACAACCUUGAGCCAGAAGUCUUCUGCAGUUAAGUCCCAAGGGUUGAGGUUGUACGUGUGCACCACCAUGCCAAGGGUUGAGGUUGUACGUGUGCACCACCAUGCCAAGGGUUGAGGUUGUACGUGUGCACCACCAUGCCAAGCUCUGGAACAGCUUUCGUGUCCUGGGUUGAGCCGGAUGAGUGAAAUACCUAGCAUGAGAAAAUAGGUGGAUCUGAUGACAGAUUCACCCAGGGCCUUCUCUAAUCUGGUUCCUGUUCACCUAGCCACCUUCAGUCUUUGCUCAUGCUCAAUACAAAUC